UACGUAGGGGGCAAGCGUUAUCCGGAAUCACUGGGCGUAAAGCGUGCGUAGGUGGCGUGUUAAGUGUGAUGUUAAAUCGUGUGGCUCAACCAUAUCGAUGUGUCGCAUACUGGCAUGCUAGAGGGAAGCAGAGGCAAGUGGAAUUUGUAGUGUAGCAGUGAAAUGCGUAGAUAUUACAAGGAACACCAAUGGCGAAGGCAGCUUGCUGGGCUUCUUCUGACACUGAGGUACGAAAGCGUGGGGAGCGAACUGG
rnacentral:rRNA from 1 species